AACGAACGCUGGCGGCGUGCCUAACACAUGCAAGUCGAGCGCGAAUGGAGCAAUCCUAGUAGCGCGGCGCACGGGUGCGUAACACGUGGGUAAUCUGCCUGGGAGACCGGAAUAACCUGCCGAAAGGCUGGCUAAUACCGGAUAAGCCCACGGACUCUUCGGAGUCUGAGGGAAAGGUGGCCUCUGUAUACAAGCUAUCACUUCCAGAUGAGCCCGCGGCCCA
rnacentral:rRNA from 1 species